GUGUAUGUAGUUCAAUGGUAGAACAUAUAUAUGGUAUGCAUGCGGCCCUGGGUUCAAUCCCCAGCAUAACCA
rnacentral:tRNA from 1 species